rnacentral:misc_RNA from 1 species
AGAACAGCCAGGCCCUGCAACAAGCAGAAUUAGAUCAUCAAAUACUGUUUCAUAAUUAAUUGAAAAUCCAUAUUGUCAAUUAAAAUAAUGUAAUUUUGUUUCUUUCCUAACAAUGCACAUUUUUCUCAUUUGAGUCAAUUUUGAAGGCAUGAAUGUGAAGCAUAUUGAGAAGCUGCCAACCUCCAUUCAACCAGAGAACCAAG